rnacentral:rRNA from 1 species
UACGUAGGGGGCAAGCGUUGUCCGGAAUUACUGGGCGUAAAGCGCACGCAGGCGGUUCGCCAAGUUUGGAGUGACAGUUGUCGGCUCAACCGACAAAGGACUUCAAAAACUGGUGAACUUGAGGACGAGAGAGGAACAUGGAACUCCAGGUGUAGUAGUGAAAUGCGUAGAUAUCUGGAAGAACACCAAUGGCGAAGGCAAUGUUCUGGCUCGGUUCUGACGCUCAGGUGCGAAAGCCAGGGGAGCGAACGGG